AUACGGAGGAUGCGAGCGUUAUCCGGAUUUAUUGGGUUUAAAGGGUGCGUAGGCUGUGCGUUAAGUCAGGGGUGAAAUGCCGUCGCUCAACGACGGAGCUGCCCUUGAUACUGGCGUGCUGGAGUACGGAUGCCGUUGGAGGAAUGAGGGGUGUAGCGGUGAAAUGCUUAGAUAUCACUCAGAACACCGAUUGCGAAGGCAUCUGACGAAUCCGUCACUGACGCUGAGGCACGAAAGCGUGGGGAUAGAACAGGAUUAGAUACCCUGGUAUUCCACGCCGUAAACGAUGAUGACUAACCGUCGGCGAUAGACAGCCGGUGGCCAAGCGAAAGCGAUAAGUCAUCCACCUGGGGAGUACGUCGGCAACGAUGAAACUCAAAGGAAUUGACGGGG
rnacentral:rRNA from 1 species